rnacentral:rRNA from 1 species
GAUUGAACGCUGGCGGCAGGCCUAACACAUGCAAGUCGAGCGGAUGAAGGGAGCUUGCUCCUGGAUUCAGCGGCGGACGGGUGAGUAAUGCCUAGGAAUCUGCCUGGUAGUGGGGGAUAACGUCCGGAAACGGGCGCUAAUACCGCAUACGUCCUGAGGGAGAAAGUGGGGGAUCUUCGGACCUCACGCUAUCAGAUGAGCCUAGGUCGGAUUAGCUAGUUGGUGGGGUAAAGGCCUACCAAGGCGACGAUCCGUAACUGGUCUGAGAGGAUGAUCAGUCACACUGGAACUGAGACACGGUCCAGACUCCUACGGGAGGCAGCAGUAGGGAAUAUUGGACAAUGGGCGAAAGCCUGAUCCAGCCAUGCCGCGUGUGUGAAGAAGGUCUUCGGAUUGUAAAGCACUUUAAGUUGGGAGGAAGGGCAGUAAGUUAAUACCUUGCUGUUUUGACGUUACCAACAGAAUAAGCACCGGCUAACUUCGUG